AUGAAAAUGGAUCAAAAGAAUAUAAAAGUUAUACAGAACGAACAUUAAGAGGCUCAAUUCCUUACACAACAUGGUAUCGCUAUCAAAAGUUACAUAUGGAACAAAAUUUAGGUUCAGAUCAAAAGCAGACGAAACAUAACGAAGAACAUAGUGAACAUUAUAAUAUGGAAGAAUUCACAUUACCAACACAAAAUACUUCAGAGUCUUCUAUACUAAUAGAAAAUGAAAAUUUUCUUUUCGAAUAUCAACAUCCUUUUCAAGUUGUAGAUGAAUAUGAAGAAGAUUGUUCACAAAAAAAAUAACUUCAAAUUAUGUUGAGAUAUUAAAUGACAAUAUUCAAUGCAUUGAGGACUCCGUUCAUGUGCAGGAUAUUAUCAACAAUAUUCUUGAGGACAUGGAUGAAACAGAUGUGGCUACA